UCCGACCGCCGCUCGAAUUUUUCGCCGUACCCGUUUUCUUAAAUUCACGAAAAACGCUAUUUCCUGGAACGGAAAACGACGCGAAAUAGGGGAGCGCGCCUCCCACUCGGCCUGUCGCGUUCCCCCCGUUUCGUCGUUAUCGCCGCGUCCGACGCCCAAACGUGUUCGUUAUCAUCGCGCCGCCGUUUUGUGCAUCGUUUAUUCUGUCGUUAUUUCAAUAUAGUGUAUUGACUGUAUUCGUUUAUUAAUGUGAUUUUGUAAAUUUUCUACUACUACGGCGAUUAUAUUAUUAAUUGUCGAUAUUGUGACGGUCUUAUUUGAUUUGAUUUUGUAAUUUUUAGAUGGCGUUUGUCGUGUGCCCGGAAGACUGCUUCGAUAAUGGUUCGAACCGUUGGCCGAGAGUGCUGGCUCAAUCAAUAGUGCUGUUAACAAUCUACAACGGAUUUAUUAAACGGGUAACGCAUUUCUGUUCGUUAAAAAAAAACGAAAAAAAAACCUGUGCGCUGACGUUUUUACAACGAUUGUAAUCGAUAUAAUUUCAAAAUCGUUGUAAUGGCAGUAUUAAUUUAUUUGAUUUUACAACUUUUACAAGACGGCGUUUGUUGCGUCCUGACGUGGUACGCUUCGAUAACGGUUCAGCCUGUUGGCCAAAAGUGCUGGUUCUAAAGGAUAACGGAUUUAUUACGCGGACUCUCAUCUGUUGUGCCCGUAAGAAUACGCUGGAAAUCGCUGUUGGUUUAGGAUUUAUUAUUAUUACAAGGAUGGUAUCUGUUGUGCCACGACAACUAAGCUAGAGAUUGAUGAUGGCAGUCAUCGCUAUUGGAUUUAUUGCAAAGAUUGUGCUACCGUUGUGGUGCCAGGAUAACAACUAUGCUAGAGAUUGAUGACAGUCAUCGCUAUUGGAUUUAUUGCACGGUCCGUGCGUCUGUUUUGACUGUGAUUGAUUAGUGGCCAACCGACCCGAAGAGUGCUGGCUCUAAUUCAUAAUGGUUGUAUUACACAGGUAACUGAUUUUGGCUUAUUUUAUUUAUUGUUGAUUACAAUGUAAUGUGUACUGCAUCGGCCGAUAAGAUCCAAAUGUUUUUGAUUUUUUCGUACGUGUAUAUUUAUAUAUAUAUAUUUUUAGUUAUGCAAUUAUUUAUCGAAUUGUUUGCAAUGGAGUUCAUCUUAUUACAUAAACGGCAAUUGUAUUUUAUAUGAAUAUCUUUUCUGAUGAAAGUAUAACGGCAACAACGUUAUUAUUUAUUAAAAUGUGUAUUGGAUAAUCGUACGAUGAAUGAAAUCUUUUUUUUUCUCCUCUAUUAUAAUAGUGACUGUAUAUUAAUUAAUGUGAUUUGUAAAUUUUAGAUAGUGCACGGCGCCUUUGGUAAAUCUACAAUAUUUUCACUUCUGUUGUACUCACAACGUGUUGAUAGUUUUGUGCUGUUGGUUUAUUUUUUUGCCUAUGCUUGCCCUCCCUCACUGUUCGCCGUUCCUCCAAAACGGUACUAUUGUCAAACAACGAUUCCAUAAGAUAUUGCCGUUCGACGACAGAGGAUCAUCACGAUUACUACGUGCAGUUCGCUCUUGGAGUUCAUCGAAAACGAUUAUUUCUUAUUUAAUUUACAACGUAAUUCCUUUACCGAUAUUAUUGUAUCUGUUUACGUUUGAGUCUCUCAUUAAACCGUAUUUUUCUAAUAAUAAUUAUAUCUAUUUGUACUUGGAGUAUAUUACUUCAAUAACCACUAAAUUUUUUUAUGUGUGUGUGUGUGAUCAAGACAAUAAUAAAACAUUAAUUAAUAAAGAAA